GACCUUUUUAGAAAUGUGUGCGCUCGAAACAGGGAAUAACUGCUCUCUACGCGUAAUCUCCGUACUGAAAUCGGGAAAUUUCCGAUAAGACGACAACGAGGACUCGCCAACACUAGGGAGAAUCGUCGACGGGAAGGGUUUUAGUGUUUUGGAUCUACCUCUAUUUUUCCCCUCCAAGAUUUUAAGAAAAAAAUAUUGUCGAAACGAAACGUGGCGUUUCACGUAGCAACAUCUAUUCGAUUCUUGUUGGACCGUCUUCUCCCUCUCUCUCUUUUCAUUCCCUUUGCUCUUUUGGAGGGAAUUGGAAUUUCAUUUGGCGGGAAUUCAAUUCCUUUUGCGAUCUAAAUCUCAGUUGCUUUCAGUUUUUUUGAAAUUACUUGUUUGGAAUCGAAAGGAGAUGUUAUUGAAUUUCUACGUACAUAACAUAAGCAGCUUUUAGGGAAGGGGAAACGAUGGGAGUAUCAGAUAAUUCGAAAGGGCUAAUUCUGGCUGUGGCAUCCAGUGCUUUUAUUGGGGCGAGCUUCAUUUUGAAGAAGAAGGGGCUGAAGCGAGCUGG
rnacentral:misc_RNA from 1 species